UCUUUUCAGUACAGAUUGCAGUUGCUGCUGGAGUCCCAAAGAAGGGAAGAGGAAACGCCAUGAGGAGGGGAUAUAAACCCAUGUGCAGGGACACGAAGCAGAGGACAGGUCAGAGCACAGGAGCCAAACUUUGGGAUGAAUCCAGCAUCAGAAAGGUGCUCCAGGAGGACAAUUCCUGCAAUAGGCAUGGGGGGUCCCCAUGAGCAGCUGGAGAUCUGCUCCCAUUUGGCCUUCCCAUUACUUUCCAAUGUCGAUGGAGCCAUGUGACCCCUAGAAUCCAUCAGCAGCAUCACACCAGUUAUGGAAAAGACUCCAAAAUAUCACCAAAAAGAGGACUGGGCAAUACUGUGAAUUUCAAGUCUUUGAUGAACCGUCAUUCCAGGUAUUUUGAUGUGUUUUCCUUUGCACGAUGGUCUAAACACCGUUACUGUGCUGCUUUUCAGUAAGGAUUCUGGGCUGCAGUGGGAGAACCAUAUGGCCACAUUAAAGAUGACCCUAAGAAAACUACUUUCCUGGAAAGACCACAAAGGUAAUUUUCCAAGAAUCACAGGAAGGACUAUCUAAUUUAGCAACAGAGGUAAGGGAUCAUUUCUCUUUAGCAGAGAGGGGAUGGACAGAUGAAAACACUGUAUGCAGGAAAAACUAAAAACUUGGAGCAGCUGUCAGAAAAGAGUUUACAAAGGAAAGUGAGGGCUGUAGAAAGAGCUCACGUGUGAGGAAUAUUGAGUGUGGCACUGGAGCAGGGUCCUUUGCCCUUUUGGUCCCUGAUAACGGGAGAUUACCAUCUAAAAUUUGCAUGCUUUUUCCGUGCAAGUUUGUAGUUGAUUUGUUCCCAUUCCUUCAGUGAAAUAUCCUGCAAAGCAACAAAAAAAGCAAUAGGCUAAGACAGGUCCCCCAGAUGUGGUGAGGAGUGCUCAAUGGGUGUUUGUCUGCAAGAGGAAAUAAGUGCCUGUGUGCUCUUGCAGCAGGCUGUGUUUUAUGGUGGCACACAGAUACUCUGUGCUGCUGGGUGUGCUGGGUGGAAGUGGCAGAUAAGGCAUCCUGUCCAGAACAAUCUGGUAUGCUUCUCUGGGAGAGGGAAAAGGAAUUCAAGAAAGGACCACGUUGGGAGGAAAGAAAUGUUAAUGAUCUCUUCAGGGGCUGUGCUUUUGCCACUUCUCUAAAUGUGCCUGCAGUGAGAGCUCUGUAAGUGGAAUAUACAGAAGAAAAUGCCCAGUGCACACAUUUCAAUUCAUAGUCACUACUCUGUGUUUUCCAUGGUAUUUUCAUUACCUGGUGAGAUGUCCAUGUCCCCAAACACAGGUACAAAACAGUACAGGGUGCAAAGCCAGAGCUCUGAGAAUGCCUGAGCUGGUGAAGGAGUGACAGCCACGUCACCCUGCACUGUGUGCAGGACUGCUGACGUGCUAGGUCUGGCAAUGCUCUUGAUGGCACCUGGGAGAACAGGGGGACGUGGUUUCCCACAUCAUCAUCUUUCUUUACAAGCUCUUGAGGCUUCCAGGAGGAAGCUCUCCCUUUGUGCUCCAUCUUAAAGACAGAGAAAUCUGAAUUAGUGGCUUUGAUUCAGUAGGGCAUUUCAACACCUAGCUUAAAGCAUCAGAUGAGCUCCAGUGAGUACAGGAAGUGUGGGGGCAGUCAGAAUCACAAGCACAUAUGUAAAUAUUUCCCUGGAUGAGGCUUCAAAUUGCAUUUGGGAAAACAUGCAGUUAGAGAAAAAGAAGAACACAUUAAUUCCUUUUUUUUUUUCCCAACAGCAUUUAACUUCAUUUUUCUUAGAGUAGAGACGUGUGAAAAGCUGCACUGUUGCAGAUGAAACUACAUAAAAUAUGGUAGAUUAAAGAUUUGGAUAUUGAUUUCUCAGGAGACCUUUUCCAGUCUAGACUUUAUUGAUAUAUCCUGCCAAUUUGUUUGUCUGGUCUCCCUGUGAACAUAACAUUUGAUACUGCAGGCAAGGUAAAAAGAUCUUUGAUAAGCUUGCUGCUUCCUGUGUUCACAAUGCACUUUUGAAACACAACUUGGAGCUCCUCUGCACCACCCCCACCCUGCACGUUUUCACCAUGUGCUUUCAUGCUUUUCAUUUGUGCACCCCGUGCCUUCAUCCCGUGGUGGACCAUUCCCAACUUUCAAAUCUCCUGUGAAGAGAAGGCAACACCCUCUCAUCAAGUUUACCCUCGGGAUGGUGGACACACACUGCUGAACAGAGAAACAAGGAGUUUUCUCACCAAGUCCCUCAGAAGUGGCUGAAAUGCUCCAUGUCUAACGGAGAUCCCGGAUUCCGGCCGCUGUCCCAUUGUCCAGCGUGGGUGCCCGGGCUCGUAACCCAGCCAUUGAUGUGAACAGAACCAAUUAGCCCCCGCUCACAAUAGCUAAACCAGCUGAUGUUGCCUUCGCUUGAAACAAUGGCAGGACCUGCACGGGCUGUGUAACUCCUUCCAGAGUGGGACCGUGAGAAAGUGGAGCCCGUAAAUGGCCUUUCAGUGGAUGAACUCCUGAGCAGCCUUUCAUACUGUGAACUCAUCACUCGGCUGUCUGGGGGUGGUUUUCUUUAGAAAAUCCCCGUUCAAAUGCACCAUGCCAGUUUUCAGUGAUAAACCCUUCUGCUGAAUGAUAUUCUGUCUCAGUGCUGUGUUCACCCCAGUAUGGAUUCAUUCAGCAGCAUCUUUUCCCUCCAGCCCUCUUUUACAUUCCUUACCAUGCUUGUUCCUCUUCCUAAUGAUCAGGGAAUAGCAACGACCACUGAUGAGAGUGUGGCAAGAACUGAAUGUUGCUCCUAACAAUGGCAGUGAGGCUUCAUUUGAGAUUUGGAUGCCGAGAAAGUUCAAGCAAAGAAGCUGAUGAGAUCAGAAAAUCAGCCCUUCCAUAUGAAUCCAGUAACUUCCUUCCUUUUGACUACUUUCUCCUCCACCUAGCUGGAAUCUUGCCACCACGACUAAUCCCUGGAUAUCCAGAACCCAGCUCCUAGUAACAACAAGGCUGAGUUCGAAAAAUGACUGCUCUUCAAAGCUGCUGUACAGCAUUAUGUCCCUUCCCACCUGGAAUGUCUUCCA